UAUUCUGCCCCACGGGGAAGGAUGAGAAGCUUCGACUAAGGUUCGACUCGAGCGCCAGCGAGAGAACGUUGCCGCAGGCAACGGCCCGAAGGGCGAGGCGCUUUAGCGCCGAGUAAUCCUUCCCCCACCACCA
rnacentral:sRNA from 1 species